GGAAGGUUGUCCGAGCUAGCCGAAGGAGCACGCCUGGAAAGUGUGUAGGCGUCACAAGCGUCUCAAGGGUUCGAAUCCCUUACCUUCCG
rnacentral:tRNA from 1 species